rnacentral:lncRNA from 1 species
GGAACAGCCGCGCUCCCGCGGAUUCUGGUGCUGCUCGCGUCCCCGCUCCCCUAUUCCCCUUAUUUUAUUCCUGGCUCCCCUCGUCGAAAGUCUUCCAUUCUUCAAACUAGAUUAUUUAAAAAUGAAAAAGGAAGAAAGGAAAGCGAGGUCAUCUCAUUGCUCUAUCCGCCAAUCAGGAGGCUGAAUGUCAGUUUUGAACUAAAAGCCGCUCCGCUCCUCUUCUAGAUUUGGAAAACAAGCGAAAUUAAACUAAACCGCUGCACGCCUCUGACGCGACAUCUGGACACGGCGCGGCGCUGGCGCUGCCGGAGCUGUCGACCCGGCCUGGCGCCGGACUAGGACUAUUUGCCACGACAUUUCAAAGGAUUCCAAGAGAGAAUAUUGGUGUCCAUGCUGUGAUGAUUCCUCAGCUCCUCUCAUCUGAUCUCCGUCCUGGCCCCCAUGACUUUCUUUGUGGUAGUUAGGGUGUGGUAUGUGCCACUGAGGCCCACACCUAUUGCUGUAAGUGCUGUUUGGGAAACCAUCAUCUUUCAGGUCUGUGUGAUAAAAGAAGAGCCUUGGGGAAAUGUUCUCUUCCAAAUUUAAUCUUUACAUUAUUAGAAAAUAUUUUGAUGACCUGUUUUCAAAUAUUUUCUUAUAACUUUCCAUUUUCAUGUGUUUAUUCUGACAGUUUAUUUUAUCUUGUAUUUAUAAUCACUAAGAUGUUAGUAUUGUAAUAUUAAUAUUACAUGAUUUAAAUUAGGAAAAAUGUGUUUUCUAUUACAAAAUGGAUAGUGGAUAAUUUAAGUAUAGAAAGUAAUAUUUUCUAUAUGGGACUAUUUCACUCUCUGUAAUAUCCUGAAUUCUAAUUCCCACUGUAGUGAGCUAUAACUUUACUAAUCAGUUUUCUUACAAUCGAUUUUAAGUCUAUUUUGUUAGAUCUAAAGACAUAAAGCCAAAAGUUCUUCUUGAAGAGAAGCACAUUUCAGUUACGUUUAUAACUUGAAAUAUCUGGUUUUACUCAAAACUCACAUGUCAUACUGAAAAACAGAAGGGAGAUGUUGUCUUUUCUUGAGGAGAGACUUCUCUGCAGUUAAACAGCUCACCACAUGUUUAGAGUACAUAGACAAUACACUUCCUCUUUUGUAAUGUAGAUUUCAGCUUUUUGCUUGUAGAAUUAUCAUUGGCGUGGAGGUUAUACAGGGGAAGUAGUGAAAAAUGUAGCCAAUACCAGGAACCUUAGGAAGUGUCUGAACUUCAUCUUUUCUGUGUUCCUUUGCCCUUAGGGGGUCAGUGUAAGAGUUUGGGCUAGGAAGAGAUUGCUUCUUUUACUCUAUUUAGUUUGUACUUCCUAUCUGGGUAUUUGACAAUAAAUGACUCAUUCUCUUUGUUUGCCCUGGUGUUGAAAAAUUUUCCCAUAUGCCAGAGAAAAAAUGUUACAGUGACACAAUGUAAAAUUGUAAGAGGUGGAAAAAGAUGAGGUAUGGACAUAGUGAAUGGAAGUUCAGCCCUUUAAAACUACUGGCAGAGUAGAUUUUACUCAGGCUUCAAUUAAGUAGACCUGAAUGUAAAUUCAGGUCUAGCUCUGCAACUUACUAGGUAAGUGACUUUAGUCCUCUUUAAGAUUUAGUUUCCUCAUUACAGGAUAUAAUAAUACUAUUUUUCUUAUGAGGUAAGUAUUAAUUGAAAUAGUAUAUGUACAUUCUAGCAUACAGUGAUCCCCUAAUAAAUGGAACUUAUCAUUAAUACAUUGCUAGGAAAAGAAAAACACAUCAGGGAACAAAAGAUAUAACUGUCUUAUUGAUAACAGGGGAUGGAUUCUUGUGGACAAAAAAAUUUAGAAUUGAAUUUUCAAGGGGUCAUUUCUUUCACCAGGUGUAGUUAGGUUUGCUCUUAUGGUAACAAUGAAUAUGUUUGUUUAGCUUCUUAAACCGGCAUCAUGGAACGUUAAUUAAUAAACAGAAUUCAAUG